rnacentral:rRNA from 1 species
UACAGAGGUCCCAAGCGUUGUUCGGAUUCACUGGGCGUAAAGGGUGCGUAGGCGGUCGGGUAAGUCUGAUGUGAAAUCUCACAGCUUAACUGUGAAACUGCAUUGGAUACUAUCCGGCUCGGGGAAUGGAGGGGAGACUGGAAUACCUGGUGUAGCAGUGAAAUGCGUAGAUAUCAAGUGGAACACCAGUGGCGAAGGCGAGUCUCUGGACAUUUCCUGACGCUGAGGCACGAAAGCCAGGGGAGCAAACGGG